CAGCUCCAGACAAGACAGGGAUAUGGAGAGACCAGCUGAGCUAGUGAGCAAGAAACACAAGCACUGAAGCUGGAAGCGUCUGCAUCAAUUUCUGUGGCUGCCAGCACAGAACCGCAGGAAGUAAGACAGCGUUGUCCUACUGAUGCUCUCACCUGGGGUCUGCCCUCAUGUCCAGGUGACACAGCUGCCCUUGGUGACCAGAAGCCACUCACCUGGUCCCUGCAUGCCAGCUUGCAGUGAGGACAUCUGUCCAGGCAUGAGAGCCCACCUUCCAUUUUGAGAAUUACUGUCAGUACCUCAGUUAGAUAAUCUAGGCUUCUGCAAUCAUACUGAAGUGUAAUAUCCAUACAACAAAUUGCACAAAUCACAGCAUGUAACUUGCUGAAUUUUUACACAGUGAAUAUGCCCCAAAAACCAAUACCCAGUUCUAGAAAUAGAACAUUAGCAGCCCCUCAGAAGCCCCUCAGGAGGCUGCUUUCUCCUUUCCUGACACUAGCAUUCCUUGACUUUAUUCUGCUUUCUAGCACUGUAGGUUAAUUUUACUUGUUUUUAAACUUUAUGUAAGUGGGGUUGUAAAUUAUAUGUUCUGUGCCUGUCUUCUUUUGCUGCAACAUUAGGAGUCAUCCACAUUAUUGUAUCUGGCAACACUUUGUUCAUUCCCAUAACCUAUGGUAUUUUACUAGAUAAAUAUGCUACACUUUACUUAUCCAUUGUACUUCUG
rnacentral:lncRNA from 1 species